rnacentral:rRNA from 2 species
AACACAUGCAAGUCGAACGGAAACGAUGGGAGCUUGCUCCCAGGCGUCGAGUGGCGGACGGGUGAGUAAUACUUAGGAAUCUGCCCAUUAGUGGGGGACAACUCGGGGAAACUCGAGCUAAUACCGCAUACGCCCUACGGGGGAAAGCGGGGGAUCUUCGGACCUCGCGCUAAUGGAUGAGCCUAAGUCGGAUUAGCUAGUUGGUGAGGUAAAAGCUCACCAAGGCGACGAUCCGUAGCUGGUCUGAGAGGACGAUCAGCCACACUGGGACUGAGACACGGCCCAGACUCCUACGGGAGGCAGCAGUGGGGAAUAUGGACAAUGGGGGCAACCCUGAUCCAGCAAUGCCGCGUGUGUGAAGAAGGCCUGCGGGUUGUAAAGCACUUUCAGUAGAGAAGAAAAGCUUAGGCUUAAUACGCCUGAGUCUUGACGUAACCUACAGAAGAAGCUCCGGCUAACUCCGUGCCAGCAGCCGCGGUAAUACGGAGGGAGCGAGCGUUAACUCGGAAUUACUGGGCGUAAAGCGCGCGUAGGCGGCUUUUGUAAAGUCGGAUGUGAAAGCCCUGGGCUUAACCAUGGGAAUGGCAUUCGAUACUGCAGAGCUAGAGUAUGGUAGAGGGAAGUGGAAUUUCCGGUGUAGCGGUGAC